GAUGAACGCUAGCGGCAGGCUUAAUACAUGCAAGUCAAGGGGGUAGCAAUACUACCGGCGCACGGGUGAGUAACACGUACAUAACAUACCAUAUACUGGGGUAUAGCUUUGGGAAACUGAAGGUAAUCCCCCAUAACAUUGCGAGAGGGCAUCUGAUUGCAAUUAAAGUUUCGACGGUAUAUGAUUGAUGUGCGUUUGAUUAGCUUGUUGGUAGGGUAACGGCCUACCAAGGCGACGAUCAAUAGCUGGCGUGAGAGCGCGACCAGCCACACUGGAACUGAGACACGGUCCAGACUCCUACGGGAGGCAGCAGUAGGGAAUAUUGGACAAUGGGCGAAAGCCUGAUCCAGCCAUGCCGCGUGAUAGAUGAAGGCCCUCUGGGUUGUAAAUAUCUUUUAUCUGGGAAGAAACAAUCUUAUUCUUAAGAUCUUGACGGUACCAGAGGAAUAAGCACCGGCUAACUCCGUGCCAGCAGCCGCGGUAAAGUAUCG
rnacentral:rRNA from 1 species